UACGUAGGGUGCAAGCGUUAAUCGGAAUUACUGGGCGUAAAGCGUGCGCAGGCGGCUUUGCAAGACAGAUGUGAAAUCCCCGGGCUUAACCUGGGAACUGCAUUUGUGACUGCAGGGCUGGAGUGCGGCAGAGGGGGAUGGAAUUCCGCGUGUAGCAGUGAAAUGCAUUGAGAUCGGAAAGAACACCAACGGCGAAAGCACUCUGCUGGGCCGACACUGACACUGAGAGACGAAAGCUAGGGGAGCAAAUGGG
rnacentral:rRNA from 1 species